GUUGCCAGGUUCCUCCAAUUCUUGUUCAGAAGAUAUUUUCUCAGAUAUUUUCAUAUAUCAACGUACAACUCUUCAACAGUCUACUUCUACGUCGUGAGUGUUGUACAUUCAGCAACGGUGAGUACGUGAAGGCAGGGUUGGCUGAGCUAGAGCUCUGGUGUGCUCAAGCAAAAGAAGAUUAUGCAGGCUCAGCUUGGGAUGAACUCAAACACAUACGACAAGCUGUUGGGUUCUUGGUUAUACAUCAGAAGUACAGAAUAUCUUAUGACGAGAUCACCAAUGAUUUAUGUCCUGUAAGUCGAACCCCCCCCCCCCCCCCCCCCCCCC